GUCAGACUCCUACGGGAGGCAGCAGUGGGGAAUAUUGCACAAUGGGGGAAACCCUGAUGCAGCGACGCCGCGUGAGCGAUGAAGUAUUUCGGUAUGUAAAGCUCUCUCAGCAGGGAAGAAAAUGACGGUACCUGACUAAGAAGCCCCGGCUAACUACGUGCCAGCAGCCGCGGUAAUACGUAGGGGGCAAGCGUUAUCCGGAUUUACUGGGUGUAAAGGGAGCGUAGACGGUCCUGCAAGCCAGAUGUGAAAGCCCGGGGCUCAACCCCGGGACUGCAUUUGGAACUGCAAGGCUAGAGUGUCGGAGAGGCAGGCGGAAUUCCUAGUGUAGCGGUGAAAUGCGUAGAUAUUAGGAGGAACACCAGUGGCGAAGGCGGCCUGCUGGACGAUGACUGACGUUGAGGCUCGAAAGCGUGGGGAGCAAACAGGAUUAGAUACCCCCGUACGA
rnacentral:rRNA from 1 species